rnacentral:rRNA from 1 species
UACGGGGGGGGGCAAGCGUUGUUCGGAAUUACUGGGCGUAAAGGCUCGUAGGCGGCCAACUAAGUCGGAUGUGAAAUCCCCAAGCUUAACUUGGGAACUGCAUCCGAUACUGGAUGGCUUGAAUCCGGGAGAGGGAUGCAGAAUUCCAGGUGUAGCGGUGAAAUGCGUAGAUAGCUGGAGGAAUACCGGUGGCGAAGGCGGCAUCCUGGACCGGCAUUGACGCUGAGGAGCGAAAGCUAGGGGAGCAAACGGG